rnacentral:tRNA from 1 species
GUCGUUGUAGUAUAGUGGUGAGUAUCCCGCUGUCACGCGGGAGACCCGGGUUCGAUCCCCGGCAACGGCG